rnacentral:rRNA from 1 species
CCUACGGGUGGCAGCAGUGGGGAAUAUUCCACAAUGGGGGAAACCCUGACGCAGCGACGCCGCGUGAGCGAUGAAGUAUUUCGGUACGUAAAGCUCUAUCAGCAGGGAAGAAAAUGACGGUACCUGACUAGGAAGCCCCGGCUAACUAUGUGCCAGCAGACGCGGUGAUACGUAGGGGGCAGGCGUUAUCCGGAUUUACGGGGUGGAAAGGGAGCGUAGACGGUCCUGCAAUCCAGAUGGGAAAGCCCGGGGGUCAAACCCGGGACUGCAUUUGGAACUGUAAGGCUAGAGUGUCGGAGAGGCAGGCGGAAUUCCAAGUGUAGCGGUGAAAUGCGUAGAUAUUAGGAGGAACACCAGUGGCGAAGGCGGCCUGCUGGACGAUGACUGACGUUGAGGCUCGAAAGCGUGGGGAGCAAACAGGAUUAGAUACCCGGGUAGUC